GCUAACCCUCACUCAGUGUGGGGAUUUCUAGUUCGAAAUCAUGGUGCCACAUCAAAGUUGUUCAUUGUUACUCAAAAACACACCUCUCCAUACAUAUGUUUUGUGGCACCCCGAUCCGCAUGGAGCAGGGGGCCUUCGCACGUCAGCCCAGGAUAACACCUGACGCACGACAGGUCCAUAAUACAGCAUUCCAGGUACAAAAAUAUUCAUCAAAUACAUGUAUAUGAGAUUACAUCAUUGAUGAAUACAAUUAUCUGGCAUAGCCCUAAGGCUAUUAAAUGACAGCGGAAGUCCGAUAAAAAUGGCGGCGGAAGUCUUGGUUUGGCAGCAUAACAACUCUGGCUGGGCUCCACAACUCACAGGACUGGCAAGAUUACGGCCUAGCACGACGGAUCAAGCGAGCAAUACGGGUACGACCUACAAAACUGGCAUGACACGCCAGGUCAGUACAUUGAAUGUACUUGCAAGACAACCAAAUACAUAGCAUCCAAACAAGCUGCAGACAAAGCAAGAACCGAGCGCAUGCAACACCCUAUCUCAUAUCAAUUACUAAACAUGGCAUGAUAAAAAUCAACUAAGCAUGAACAAAAUCAUAACAUCUACUAACAUGGCAAUGACAUGGCAUAUCAGAACAUGAUUAUAACAUUGUAAUAGCAAAACAUAGAAUUUUAUCUCAAUCAUGGCAUAACUUAACAUGUCAAUCAAAGCAUAACAUGGCAUCAAGAAACUAUGCUGAAAAUAAACUACCAAUAAUAUCCAAUGCAGACAUAGCAUGUUAACAUUAUGCAAUCAUCUUCUGUUCUAUCAUGGUUCUUUAAAUGCAAAUAAUGAUAUAUUAUUUCUGCAAUGCAACCAAACUUGUGCACCGAGUCCCUCGGACUCUCUUAUCAACUGUGAUCAUCUCUGGAUCACAAACACACCACCAAAGUGGUCUUUCUCAAGAACAACUCGUGAUCCUUACGGCGAUCACAACCACGACCAACACUUGGUCUCCAACCGUGAUCCUUACGGCGAUCACAACCACGACCAAUAUUUGGCCCGUGAUCCUUACGGCAAUCACAACCACUUAUCUCAUCAUCAAAAUAUCGUCGCGACUCCUCACGACUAUCUCAUAGUUCAAGUUACCAUACUCUUGUUAUCACAUAUUUAUUUACCAACUUAAUUAUUUCAGUUUGUCCUCCAUUUCGACCAAGACCUGAUAGUGGGACCUACUACGAACUAUUGCUAUCGAUAGACUUUAUACACUCUGCAGAGGUAGCACACUGUACCCACACCACGGAACCCAUGGCCUCGUCGUCCCAUUCGGGUGGACCAACGACAUUCCGACGAAACCAACCUACUGCCAUGACGCUCUCCCGGCCACUCCAACCCAAUCCCCAACGGGCUGGUCCUGGGUGGCCCCGUGUCUACCAAAGACACCCCGACCACCGUCGUGGUCAACUCCCACUCGGGGACACUCCCACUCGGGGACUGGUACCAAAAAUCUCAAAAACGAGCACACAAGGUUAUGUCCGCUUACCUGAUCAGGGUAAGCACGCCCAUAACCUUCCCUAGUGGGAGGCACCGGCGAGAGGUCACGACAAUAGCUCGCAUUAAGGCCUCCCGUAAGGCAAAUGUGUCUGCACUGAAAAAGUUUGGUUUGGCGGCACUAUGACUCGAUCCCAUCGAUGACGGAGGAGGUUUGUUAUUAUUAAGUCAUUUUAUUUCCUUCUCCAUCAUCAUGAACAUAUUUAACAUGAGUGCAACAUGCCGCAUACAAAUGCACGAACAAAAUAUUGAACUCCUCAAGUGCACAACUAUAACAUAAAGGACACGACAAUAGUAUAUCAACGGUACAUUACAAUCCUCAUAACAGUUUAUAACGAUGACAUGCAAAUAAAGUAGAGUAUUGGCAUGGCAUUAUUAAUAAUAACAUUCUAAUUAACAUGGCAAAGGUAUCAUGAAACACAAGCAUGCAAGAUAGGCAUAAAGAAAUAACUGCCGAUGAAAACGAUAUAAAACAACUACAACUACACACACAAGGUGCAAGCAAAGUCAACAUGGAAGUUCGGGGCUCAUGAUAAGAGGUUGGCUUGCCUGGGGGUCGGCAAAUACUCCGGGAAGAAGUGCGAAACGAUCGCGGAAAGAUUUGCCGGAAACAGUUCUCUCUCGGAGGAGGCUGUUUACGGUCAAGGGCAAAAUGGUCAUUUUCACUGUGUGAAAAUAUUAUGAAAAUGAUACCAACGGAAAGAGCUCGACGAACAGAGAACAUGAGCACUGGAAUCACCUUAUUCGGAGUUACGGGUAAAAAGAUACGAACGUUUAAAGCUCAGGGACUAGUCUGUAAAAAUACUUCUACAAACAGGUCCCUGGUAGUUUAAACAGAACGUGUCUUUUCUGAAAAUAUGUUUUCCAGAAAGGGAAACGUAUUCCCAGCCGAAGGAGAGGAAGAAUACGCUUUCUGAGAUAGAGAGCGUACUAUACGGAAAGGCGCUUUCGCGCGGGGAAAGCGGUUUCACGGUGGGGCGCCGCCAGUUAUCCGACGUGGCAAGCGGGGCCACGCCCUACGGUCGCCGACAGGUGGGGCCGCGCGGGAAGGGGGC
rnacentral:lncRNA from 1 species